CGCGUAGGCGGUGCGGUAAGUCACCUGUGAAACCUCCGGGCUCAACUCGGAGCCUGCAGGCGAAACUGCCGUGCUGGAGUGUGGGAGGGGUGCGUGGAAUUCCCGGUGUAGCAGUGAAAUGCGUAGAGAUCGGGAGGAACACCUGUGGCGAAAGCGGCGCACUGGACCACAACUGACGCUGAGGCGCGAAAGCUAGGGGAGCAGACAGGAUUAGAUACCCUGGUAGUCCUAGCCCUAAACGAUGGAUGCUUGGUGUAGCCGGUACCCAAUCCGGCUGUGCCGCAGCUAACGCGAUAAGCAUCCCGCCUGGGGAGUACGGUCGCAAGGCUGAA
rnacentral:rRNA from 1 species